rnacentral:rRNA from 1 species
CACGUAGGGCGCGAGCGUUGUCCGGAAUUAUUGGGCGUAAAGAGCUUGUAGGCGGUUUGUCGCGUCUGCCGUGAAAUUUCGAGGCUCAACCUCGAACUUGCGGUGGGUACGGGCAGACUAGAGUGUGGUAGGGGAGACUGGAAUUCCUGGUGUAGCGGUGAAAUGCGCAGAUAUCAGGAGGAACACCGAUGGCGAAGGCGGUUCUCUGGGCCUGUACUGACGCUGAGGAGCGAAAGCGUGGGGAGCGAACAGG